rfam:Longilinea arvoryzae DNA, scaffold: Larv_scaffold_1, strain: KOME-1.
GGGCGGGUAGCUCAGUUGGUUAGAGCACAUCUCUUACACAGAUGGGGUCGCAGGUCCGAGUCCUGUUCCGCCCA